GACGAACGCUGGCGGCGUGCUUAACACAUGCAAGUCGAACGGAAAGGCCCUGCUUGCCGGGUACUCGAGUGGCGAACGGGUGAGUAACACGUGGGUGAUCUGCCCUGCACUUCGGGAUAAGCCUGGGAAACUGGGUCUAAUACCGGAUAGGAGCCAUUUUUAGUGUGAUGGUUGGAAAGUUUUUUCGGUGUAGGAUGAGCUCGCGGCCUAUCAGCUUGUUGGUGGGGUAAUGGCCUACCAAGGCGGCGACGGGUAGCCGGCCUGAGAGGGUGGACGGCCACACUGGGACUGAGGUGCGGCCCAGACUGCGACGGGAGGCAGAAGGGGGGAAGAUUGCAGGAGGGGCGCCAGCCUGAUGCAGAGAGGCCGCGUGGGGGAGGACGGCCUUCGGGUUGUAAACUCCUUUCGCUAGGGACGAAGCUUUUUGUGACGGUACCUAGAUAAGAAGCACCGGCUAACUACGUG
rnacentral:rRNA from 1 species